rnacentral:sRNA from 1 species
GUAGCUUCCUUGUCGUGUGGCCUCAGUCCUUCGCCGUCCCUCGCCGUCCUUCGCCAUCGCACGCCACCGCACCCCAUCUCUCGAAAUCUGCAGACAUCUUGAUUUUUCCCACGCUGUCUGUCAGGUCUCCGCCGCCACUCGACGCCAGGGCGCCGGGUGAGUCCACAGCAGGGCGCAUGGUCGGCUCCACUCUCACCAUCGGGGGAAACUGAGGCCCCGGGGAAGGCGGCCAGAGAGGUCAGGCCCUGUCCUUGGUGCAGUGUCUCGUCCUCUUUGCCGGAGUGAGCCCCCCAGGAUUCGCGUGUCCUCGGGAAAGACACUGGCGGGCCUUGUGGGCUGUGCUGCACCUCGGACGGCUUCGCACCAGCCAGCGCCCUCUCUCUCCUGCAGCACUCUGAUCUGCACCCCCUGAGGGGCUUCCACUGUCCGCGGGGUGAGAAUGCCCCUGGGAGUGUCACAUGACUGCCGCCCCAUGUGUGUGAGAGGCGUCCUCUGGGAGAGCAUGGAUCCUGAGGUCCCAGGAACAUCCCGAGAGCCAAGUUCCCAGAUGCCAGCCAAGGGCCAUCUGACCUGUUUUGAAUCUCAAUUUCCUGAUACAGAAAACAAAGGAUUGUCAGCUGACCUCUGUCCUGUGUGCCCAGUGGCCCCAGGUGACGUGUCUUCAAGAAGAGGCUGAGCUGCGGUGCUUGUAAGAUGGGUCUGCUGUGUGCAGAGGCUCCAUGGGAUGUGUUGUCUUCAUAGUAGCAGGGCGCUGGACCAUGGGUCCGCAAGGUCUCAGCCUUAGAUCCAAGGACAGUCCAAGGAAGUCCUAAGACCAUGGAGUUGGUGAUCUAGGAUCUGGGUUUGCUGAUAUUUCUCACCGUGAAUCUCUUGGUGGUGUUUGUGGGCACGAGAGGGGCAGAGAAUGGAGAGUGAGGCUACCACAUGAAGCGUCACCAGAGCUGCUCCCUGCUGCCUGCUCAGAGCACCCCGGAUCCACUGUUCAAUCUGCACAAGAUUCGGGGUCCAGACAUGGGAGACUUCAGCUGCCUCAGAGGACCGUGGACAGGGAAGGCCAGCCUCGCAUCCCUCUGUCCAUGCCUGGAAUGACUUUAAUAACCAAGAGUUUUAUUUUUGAAUUUGUAGCUGUCGUUCACUUUUUACCCACCCAUUCAAUAAACCUUACAGAAUUGC